rnacentral:rRNA from 1 species
AGCGAACGCUGGCGGCAGGCCUAACACAUGCAAGUCGAACGAACCUUUCGGGGUUAGCGGCGGACGGGUGAGUAACACGUGGAUAACCUACCUAUAAGACUGGGAUAACUUCGGGAAACCGGAGCUAAUACCGGAUAACAUGUUGAACCGCAUGGUUCAACAGUGAAAGACGGUUUUGCUGUCACUUAUAGAUGGAUCCGCGUCGCAUUAGCUAGUUGGUAAGGUAACGGCUUACCAAGGCAACGAUGCGUAGCCGACCUGAGAGGGUGAUCGGCCACACUGGAACUGAGACACGGUCCAGACUCCUACGGGAGGCAGCAGUAGGGAAUCUUCCGCAAUGGGCGAAAGCCUGACGGAGCAACGCCGCGUGAGUGAAGAAGGUCUUCGGAUCGUAAAACUCUGUUAUUAGGGAAGAACAAAUGUGUAAGUAACUAUGCACGUCUUGACGGUACCUAAUCAGAAAGCCACGGCUAACUACGU